UUCCUUGAUUCUACAACCGUCUCUUUAGAUGGAACUGCCAUUCACUGGUUUUGAGUUGACCUUCAUCAUCAUCGCCUUCACCAUCUUCUCGCUCUUCGGCUUAGUUUCAAUCUGCAUCCAGCCAGACCCAACCCAGGCAGAACAUUCCGAGUGUGAAGCAGAUAGGUCCCAACGACCACUUAAGAGGAAACAGAGAGUGAUCAUCAAGCAAGCCAUACAGAAGCCUUAAAGAGGAGGACGUUCGUAUCCGUGAAUCCAGCCAACCCGGUCAAGGAGACGAUGGGAGGAGGAAGAGAGUGAAGAGUAAAGACGGGAGGAGAGGUUGAAGCUUCCUGCUCGGUCGUAAAGAUCACAGCUACGGCGGAGACAAUAACCACCCACGACCGCCCGGCAGUGCAUACAACACCACCAUGACACACUUCUGCGCCACUCCGUUUCUGGGUAGCGCGCUGCUCCUGAAUGGAUUCAGAUCUGUAGAACUGGUGUGAACAAGUCAGCUUAAAGUCCGCAGGGUAAACGCACAUCACACCAUCAUGAGGCGGACGCUUGUACUUCGGCACGAGAUAUUGAACCAGCCACAAAAACCACAGUAUGUGCGCUGAUAAUCCCUCCGGCCGUUUGUGACUCAUUAUUUCUUUGCAAACAGUUGACUACCUGUGAAACAACAAAUCAUGUUUACAAAAGGACCCUUCAAUCUAAUUAGUGUUUUUUUUUGUAUUAAACCAGUAUGGGUGGUAAGAAAAACCGUAGCCUGCAUCCACAUUUCAGUGAU